AGAGUUUGAUCCUGGCUCAGAACGAACGUUGGCGGCGUGGAUUAGGCAUGCAAGUCGAACGAAUCUCAGCCUUGUAGCAAUACCGGGCUGGGGGAAGUGGCGAAAGGGGCAGUAAUGCGUGGGUAACCUACCCCGAGGACUGGGAUAGCCAUCCUAACGGAUGGAUAAUACCGGGCGACAUAGCGAGGGCGCAUGUUCUUGCUAUCAAAUGAGUUUCGCCUCGGGAGGGGCUCACGUGCUAUUAGCUUGUUGGUGGGGUAACGGCCUACCAAGGCAAAGAUGGCUAGCGGGUGUGAGAGCACGACCCGCGCCACUGGCACUGAGACACUGGCCAGACUCCUACGGGAGGCUGCAGUCGAGGAUCUUCGGCAAUGGGCGCAAGCCUGACCGAGCGACGCCGCGUGCGGGAUGAAGGCCUUCGGGUUGUAAACCGCUGUCGAGGGGGAGGAAAGCCGUAAGGUCUGACCUAUCCCUGGAGGAAGCACGGGCUAAGUUCGUGCCAGCAGCCGCGGUAAGACGAACCGUGCGAACGUUGUUCGGAUUCACUGGGCUUAAAGGGCGCGUAGGCGGGCGAUCAAGUCAGGGGUGAAAUCUUUCGGCUCAACCGGAAAAGUGCUUCUGAUACUGAUCGUCUCGAGGGAGGUAGGGGCAUGUGGAACUUCCGGUGGAGCGGUGAAAUGCGUAGAUAUCGGAAGGAACGCCGGUGGCGAAAGCGACGUGCUGGACCUCUUCUGACGCUGAGGCGCGAAAGCCAGGGGAGCGAACGGAAUUAGAUACCCCCGUAGUCC
rnacentral:rRNA from 1 species